rnacentral:rRNA from 1 species
CCUACGGGGGGCUGCAGUGAGGAAUAUUGGUCAAUGGGCGCAAGCCUGAACCAGCCAAGUAGCGUGAAGGAUGACUGCCCUACGGGUUGUAAACUUCUUUUAUAAAGGAAUAAAGUGCGGCACGUGUGCCUUUUUGUAUGUACUUUAUGAAUAAGGAUCGGCUAACUCCGUGCCAGCAGCCGCGGUAAUACGGAGGAUCCGAGCGUUAUCCGGAUUUAUUGGGUUUAAAGGGAGCGUAGAUGGGUUGUUAAGUCAGUUGUGAAAGUUUGCGGCUCAACCCGAAAAUUGCAGUUGAUACUGGCAGCCUUGAGUACAGGUGAGGUAGGCGGAAUUCGUGGUGUAGCGGUGAAAUGCUUAGAUAUCACGAAGAACCCCGAUUGCGAAGGCAGCUUACUAAACUGCCACUGACAUUGAUGUUCGAAAGUGUGGGUAUCAAACAGGAUUAGAUACCCGAGUAGUC